rnacentral:rRNA from 1 species
GACGAACGCUGGCGGCGUGCCUAACGCAUGCAAGUCGAGCGAAGUGAGUACUACGGUACGAACUUAGCGGCGGACGGGUGAGUAACGCGUGGACAAUCUACCCUGUAGACUGGGAUAACACCUCGAAAGGGGUGCUAAUACCGGAUUAUGUCGAGAAGCGGCAUCGCUUUUCGAAGAAAGGAGAGAAUCCGCUAUAGGAGGAGUCCGCGUCCCAUUAGCUAGUUGGUGAGGGUAACGGCCCACCAAGGCGACGAUGGGUAGCCGGCCUGAGAGGGUGAACGGCCACACUGGAACUGAGACACGGUCCAGACUCCUACGGGAGGCAGCAGUGGGGAAUAUUGUGCAAUGGGGGAAACCCUGACACAGCAACGCCGCGGGAGCGAAGAAGGCCUUCGGGUUGUAAAGCUCAAUAGUAUGGGAAGAUAAUGACGGUACCAUACGAAAGCCCCGGCUAACUACGUGCCAGCCGCCGCCGUAAAAC